rnacentral:rRNA from 1 species
UACGUAGGGUGCAAGCGUUAAUCGGAAUUACUGGGCGUAAAGCGUGCGCAGGCGGUUUGGUAAGACAGAUGUGAAAUCCCCGGGCUUAACCUGGGAAUGGCAUUUGUGACUGCCCGGCUAGAGUGUGUCAGAGGGGGGUAGAAUUCCACGUGUAGCAGUGAAAUGCGUAGAUAUGUGGAGGAAUACCGAUGGCGAAGGCAGCCUCCUGGGAUAACACUGACGCUCAUGCACGAAAGCGUGGGGAGCAAACAGG